rnacentral:rRNA from 1 species
UUAAGUUAUUAAGGGCGCACGGUGGAUGCCUUGGCACUAGAAGCCGAUGAAGGACGUUACUAACGACGAUAUGCUUUGGGGAGCUGUAAGUAAGCUUUGAUCCAGAGAUUUCCGAAUGGGGAAACCCAGCAUGAGUUAUGUCAUGUUAUCGAUAUGUGAAUACAUAGCAUAUCAGAAGGCACACCCGGAGAACUGAAACAUCUUAGUACCCGGAGGAAGAGAAAGAAAAUUCGAUUCCCUUAGUAGCGGCGAGCGAAACGGGAAGAGCCCAAACCAACAAGCUUGCUUGUUGGGGUUGUAGGACACUCUAUACGGAGUUACAAAGGACGACAUUAGACGAAUCAUCUGGAAAGAUGAAUCAAAGAAGGUAAUAAUCCUGUAGUCGAAAAUGUUGUCUCUCUUGAGUGGAUCCUGAGUACGACGGAGCACGUGAAAUUCCGUCGGAAUCUGGGAGGACCAUCUCCUAAGGCUAAAUACUCUCUAGUGACCGAUAGUGAACCAGUACCGUGAGGGAAAGGUGAAAAGCACCCCGGAAGGGGAGUGAAAUAGAACCUGAAACCGUGUGCUUACAAGUAGUCAGAGCCCGUUAAUGGGUGAUGGCGUGCCUUUUGUAGAAUGAACCGGCGAGUUACGAUUUGAUGCAAGGUUAAGCAGUAAAUGUGGAGCCGUAGCGAAAGCGAGUCUGAAUAGGGCGUUUAGUAUUUGGUCGUAGACCCGAAACCAGGUGAUCUACCCUUGGUCAGGUUGAAGUUCAGGUAACACUGAAUGGAGGACCGAACCGACUUACGUUGAAAAGUGAGCGGAUGAACUGAGGGUAGCGGAGAAAUUCCAAUCGAACCUGGAGAUAGCUGGUUCUCUCCGAAAUAGCUUUAGGGCUAGCCUCAAGUGAUGAUUAUUGGAGGUAGAGCACUGUUUGGACGAGGGGCCCCUCUCGGGUUACCGAAUUCAGACAAACUCCGAAUGCCAAUUAAUUUAACUUGGGAGUCAGAACAUGGGUGAUAAGGUCCGUGUUCGAAAGGGAAACAGCCCAGACCACCAGCUAAGGUCCCAAAAUAUAUGUUAAGUGGAAAAGGAUGUGGCGUUGCCCAGACAACUAGGAUGUUGGCUUAGAAGCAGCCAUCAUUUAAAGAGUGCGUAAUAGCUCACUAGUCGAGUGACACUGCGCCGAAAAUGUACCGGGGCUAAACAUAUUACCGAAGCUGUGGAUUGUCCUUUGGACAAUGGUAGGAGAGCGUUCUAAGGGCGUUGAAGCAUGAUCGUAAGGACAUGUGGAGCGCUUAGAAGUGAGAAUGCCGGUGUGAGUAGCGAAAGACGGGUGAGAAUCCCGUCCACCGAUUGACUAAGGUUUCCAGAGGAAGGCUCGUCCGCUCUGGGUUAGUCGGGUCCUAAGCUGAGGCCGACAGGCGUAGGCGAUGGAUAACAGGUUGAUAUUCCUGUACCACCUAUAAUCGUUUUAAUCGAUGGGGGGACGCAGUAGGAUAGGCGAAGCGUGCGAUUGGAUUGCACGUCUAAGCAGUAAGGCUGAGUAUUAGGCAAAUCCGGUACUCGUUAAGGCUGAGCUGUGAUGGGGAGAAGACAUUGAGUCUUCGAGUCGUUGAUUUCACACUGCCGAGAAAAGCCUCUAGAUAGAAAAUAGGUGCCCGUACCGCAAACCGACACAGGUAGUCAAGAUGAGAAUUCUAAGGUGAGCGAGCGAACUCUCGUUAAGGAACUCGGCAAAAUGACCCCGUAACUUCGGGAGAAGGGGUGCUCUUUAGGGUUAACGCCCAGAAGAGCCGCAGUGAAUAGGCCCAAGCGACUGUUUAUCAAAAACACAGGUCUCUGCUAAACCGUAAGGUGAUGUAUAGGGGCUGACGCCUGCCCGGUGCUGGAAGGUUAAGAGGAGUGGUUAGCUUCUGCGAAGCUACGAAUCGAAGCCCCAGUAAACGGCGGCCGUAACUAUAACGGUCCUAAGGUAGCGAAAUUCCUUGUC